UACGUAGGGUGCAAGCGUUGUCCGGAAUUAUUGGGCGUAAAGAGCUCGUAGGCGGUCUGUUGCGUCGGCUGUGAAAACCCGGGGCUCAACUCCGGGCCUGCAGCCGAUACGGGCAGACUAGAGUUCGGCAGGGGAGACUGGAAUUCCUGGUGUAGCGGUGAAAUGCGCAGAUAUCAGGAGGAACACCGGUGGCGAAGGCGGGUCUCUGGGCCGAAUACUGACGCUGAGGAGCGAAAGCGUGGGGAGCGAACAGG
rnacentral:rRNA from 1 species